rnacentral:rRNA from 1 species
GCUUGACCUCGGAUCAGGUAGGGAUACCCGCUGAACUUAAGCAUAUC